rnacentral:rRNA from 1 species
CCUACGGGGGGCAGCAGUGGGGAAUUUUGGACAAUGGGCGAAAGCCUGAUCCAGCAAUGCCGCGUGCAGGAUGAAGGCCUUCGGGUUGUAAACUGCUUUUGUACGGAACGAAAAGGCUCUGGCUAAUACCUGGGGCACAUGACGGUACCGUAAGAAUAAGCACCGGCUAACUACGUGCCAGCAGCCGCGGUAAUACGUAGGGUGCGAGCGUUAAUCGGAAUUACUGGGCGUAAAGCGUGCGCAGGCGGUUUUGUAAGACAGAGGUGAAAUCCCCG